rnacentral:rRNA from 1 species
UACGAAGGGGGCUAGCGUUGCUCGGAAUCACUGGGCGUAAGGGGUGCGUAGGCGGGUCUUUAAGUCAGGGGUGAAAUCCUGGAGCUCAACUCCAGAACUGCCUUUGAUACUGAGGAUCUUGAGUAUGGGAGAGGUGAGUGGAACUGCGAGUGUAGAGGUGAAAUUCGUAGAUAUUCGCAAGAACACCAGUGGCGAAGGCGGACUCACUGGUCCGGUACUGACGCUGAGGUGCGAAAGCGUGGGGAGCAAACAGGG